GCGGGCGUAGUCUAGCUGGUUAGGACAGGGGCCUUCCAAGCCUCUGACCCGGGUUCGAAUCCCGGCGCCCGCA
rnacentral:tRNA from 1 species